GAUGAAGAACGCAGCGAAAUGCGAUACUUGGUGUGAAUUGCAGAAUCCCGUGAACCAUCGAGUCUUUGAACGCAAGUUGCGCCCGAAGCCAUUAGGCCGAGGGCACGCCUGCCUGGGCGUCACACGUCGUUGCCCCCCCAUCUACUCCUUCGGGAUUGCGGGGGGCGGAUGAUGGCCUCCCGUGCGCCUCAUCGCGCGGUUGGCAUAAAUGCCAAGUCCUCGGCGACGCACGCCACGACAAUCGGUGGUUGCGAAACCUCGGUUGCCCGUCGUGUGCGGUCGUCGCGCAUCGAGGGCUCGAAAAAAUUGCCGGGCUCCGGCUCGGCUUUCAACGCGACCCCAGGUCAGGCGGGGUUACCCGCUGAAUUUAAGCAUAUCAAUAAGCGGAGGA
rnacentral:misc_RNA from 1 species